GAUGAACGCUGGCGGCGUGCCUAAUACAUGCAAGUCGUACGGAAAGGCCCUUCGGGGUACUCGAGUGGCGGACGGCUGAGUAACGCGUGGGAACGUGCCCCAAAGUGAGGGAUAACGCACCGAAAGGUGUGCUAAUACCGCAUAUGGUCUGCGGAUUAAAGCUUCUGCGCUUUUGGAGCGGCCCGCGUACGAUUAGAUAGUUGGUGAGGUAAUGGCUCACCAAGUCGACGAUCGUUAGCUGGUCUGAGAGGAUGAUCAGCCAGACUGGGACUGAGACACGGCCCAGACUCCUACGGGAGGCAGCAGUAAGGAAUCUUCCACAAUGGGGGCAACCCUGAUGGAGCAACGCCGCGUGCAGGAUGAAGGUUUUCGGACCGUAAACUGCUUUUAUAAGUGAAGAAUAUGACGGUAACUUAUGAAUAAGGAUCGGCUAACUACGUGCCAGCCGCCGCAGUAA
rnacentral:rRNA from 1 species